ACAGGGAAGGUCAGACAGUAUAGAGAGGAUUUCUUUUCCACCCUAUGGGCGGCAAAUUUUUUGUAGGGAGGCAAACCGCCCGCCGUGAAGGUGAAAGAAAGAGCUUUCCGGGGUCCGUAAAAAACUCCUGUUGUUUGGAGAGAGAAUAUGCUCAGGCAGAAGUAACUGUUGUCGGGCGUGACGGUAUCCCAACCAGAAAAGCCCACGGCUUACUACGUGCCCAGCAGCCCGCGGGUAAUAACGUAAGGUGGGCAAGCGUUUUCCGGAUUUUAUUGGGGCGUAUAAGCGAGGCGCCAGAGCGGUUUUUUUAAGUCUGAAUGUGAAAAGCCCUCGGGUUUAACCGAGGAAAGCGCAUCGGAAACUGGGGAAACUUGAGUGCAGAAGAGGACAGUGGAACUCCAUGUGUAGCGGUGAAAUGCGUAGAUAUAUGGAAGAACACCAGUGGCGAAGGCGGCUGUCUGGUCUGUAACUGACGCUGAGGCUCGAAAGCAUGGGUAGCGAACAGGAUUAGAUACCCUGGUAGUCCAUGCCGUAAACGAUGAAUGCUAGGUGUUGGAGGGUUUCCGCCCUUCAGUGCCGCAGCUAACGCAUUAAGCAUUCCGCCUGGGGAGUACGACCGCAAGGUUGAAACUCAAAGGAAUUGACGGGGGCCCGCACAAGCGGUGGAGCAUGUGGUUUAAUUCGAAGCAACGCGAAGAACCUUACCAGGUCUUGACAUCUUUUGAUCACCUGAGAGAUCAGGUUUCCCCUUCGGGGGCAAAAUGACAGGUGGUGCAUGGUUGUCGUCAGCUCGUGUCGUGAGAUGUUGGGUUAAGUCCCGCAACGAGCGCAACCCUUAUGACUAGUUGCCAGCAUUUAGUUGGGCACUCUAGUAAGACUGCCGGUGACAAACCGGAGGAAGGUGGGGAUGACGUCAAAUCAUCAUGCCCCUUAUGACCUGGGCUACACACGUGCUACAAUGGAUGGUACAACGAGUUGCGAGACCGCGAGGUCAAGCUAAUCUCUUAAAGCCAUUCUCAGUUCGGACUGUAGGCUGCAACUCGCCUACACGAAGUCGGAAUCGCUAGUAAUCGCGGAUCAGCACGCCGCGGUGAAUACGUUCCCGGGCCUUGUACACACCGCCCGUCACACCAUGAGAGUUUGUAACACCCGAAGCCGGUGGCGUAACCCUUUAGGGAGCGAGCCGUCUAAAGGUGGACCGGAUGGG
rnacentral:rRNA from 2 species